CAGUCGCCACGGUAAUACGAAGGGGGCUAGCGUUGCUCGGAAUCACUGGGCGUAAAGGGUGCGUAGGCGGGUCUUUAAGUCAGGGGUGAAAUCCUGGAGCUCAACUCCAGAACUGCCUUUGAUACUGAAGAUCUUGAGUUCGGGAGAGGUGAGUGGAACUGCGAGUGUAGAGGUGAAAUUCGUAGAUAUUCGCAGGAACACCAGUGGCGAAGGCGGCUCACUGGCUCGAUACUGACGCUGAGGUGCGAAAGCGUGGGGAGCAAACAGGAUUAGAUACCCCUGUAGUCCCUGUCUCUUAUAC
rnacentral:rRNA from 1 species